GUCGAGGAUCUUCGGCAAUGGGCGCAAGCCUGACCGAGCGACGCCGCGUGUGCGAUGAAGGCCUUCGGGUUGUAAAGCACUGUCGGGGGGGAGAAAAGGGCAACCUUGAUCGACCCCCGGAGGAAGCACGGGCUAAGUUCGUGCCAGCAGCCGCGGUAAGACGAACCGUGCGAACGUUGUUCGGAAUCACUGGGCUUAAAGGGCGCGUAGGCGGGCAGGCAAGUCCGGGGUGAAAUCCCACGGCUCAACCGUGGAAGUGCCUUGGAUACUGCAUGUCUGGAGGGAUGUAGGGGCGUGCGGAACUUCCGGUGGAGCGGUGAAAUGCGUAGAUAUCGGAAGGAACACCGGUGGCGAAAGCGGCGCGCUGGACAUCUACUGACGCUGAGGCGCGAAAGCCAGGGGAGCAAACGGGAUUAGAUACCCUGGUAGUCC
rnacentral:rRNA from 1 species